rnacentral:rRNA from 1 species
UACGGAGGGUGCAAGCAUUAAUCGGAUUUAUUGGGCGUAAAGGGCGCGUAGGCGGGGAUGUAAGUCAGACGUGAAAUCCCGGGGCUCAACCUCGGAACAGCAUUUGAAACUAUAUCUCUAGAGGAUAGGCGGAGAAAACGGAAUUCCACAAGUAGCGGUGAAAUGCGUAGAUAUGUGGAAGAACACCGGUGGCGAAGGCGGUUUUCUAGCUUAUUCCUGACGGCUAAAGCGCGAAAAGCAAGGGGAUCAAACAGG